rnacentral:rRNA from 1 species
AGAGUUUGAUCCUGGCUCAGGACGAACGCUGGCGGCGUGCUUAACACAUGCAAGUCGAACGAGAUUGAUCUGGUGGCAACACCGGUGAAGACCUAGUGGCGAACGGGUGAGUAACACGUGAGCAACCUGCCCCGAAGACCGGGAUAACAGCGGGAAACCGCUGCUAAUACCGGAUGCCCCCAUCGGACCCCAUGGCUCGA